GAGUUUGAUCAUGGCUCAGAAUGAACGCUGGCGGCGUGCUUAACACAUGCAAGUCGAGCGAGGCCAGGGGGGCAACUCCCUGAGUCGAGCGGCGGACGGGUGAGUAACACGUGGGUAACCUACCCGGAAGUGGGGAAUACCUCGGGGAAACUCGAGCUAAUACCGCAUAACAUCUUUGGGACGAAAGUUCCGACGAUCAAAGCGGGGUCGCAAGAUCUCGCGCUACCGGAUGGGCCCGCGCCCGAUUAGCUAGUUGGUGAGGUAACGGCUCACCAAGGCGACGAUCGGUAACCGGCCUGAGAGGGCGAUCGGUCACACCGGAACUGAGACACGGUCCGGACUCCUACGGGAGGCAGCAGUGGGGAAUCUUGCGCAAUGGGCGAGAGCCUGACGCAGCAACGCCGCGUGGAGGAUGAAGGCCCUUGGGUUGUAAACUCCUGUCGGCUGGGAA
rnacentral:rRNA from 1 species